rnacentral:tRNA from 1 species
AUUAUUUUGGCAGAAAAGUGCGAUAGAUUUAGAAUCUUUUAAUGUAAAUUUUACAGAUAAUA